rnacentral:rRNA from 1 species
CUCCACCCAAACAGUUCAGCGUUAUGCUCGUUGAAUCGCCUAAGGAUGGGGCCGCGACCGAUCAGGUUGUUGGUGAGGUAAUGGCUCACCAAGCCUUUUACCGGUGCGGGCCGUGAGAGCGGGAGCCCGGAGAUGGGCACUGAGACAAGGGCCCAGGCCCUACGGGGCGCAGCAGUCGCGAAAACUUUGUAAUAAGCGAAAGCUUGACAGGGCUAUCCCGAGUGCCAUCCGCUGAGGAAGGCUUUUACCCAGUCUAGAACGCUGGGGGAAUAAGGAGAGGGCAAGUCUGGUGUCAGCCGCCGCGGUAAUACCAGCUCUCCGAGUGGUGUGGAUGUUUAUUGGGCCUAAAGCAUCCGUAGCUGGCUAAGUUAGUCCCUUGUUAAAAAAAAAAAAAUUAAUCGUUGGAUUGCGGGGGAUACUGCUUGGCUAGGGGACGAGAGAGGCAGACGGUAUUUUCGGGGUAGGGGUGAAAUCCUAUAAUCCCGGGAAGACCACCAGUGGCGAAGGCUGUCUGCUAGAACGCGCCCGACGGUGAGGGAUGAAAGCUGGGGGAGCGAACCGGAUUAGAUACCCGGGUAGUCCCAGCUGUAAACGAUGCACUCUCUCGUACGACGUGCGGCCACGUGCCGUUCUAGUGCCGCAGGGAAGCUGUUAAGUUGAAGGAUCUCGGUACGAUCGCAAGAUUGAAACUU